UAAUACGGAGAGUGCAAGCGUUACUCGGAAUCACUGGGCAUAAAGCGCACGUAGGCGGGAAGAUGUGUCGGUGGUGAAAGCCCCCAGCUCAACUGGGUGAACUGCCUCCGAAACUGUCGUUCUUGAGGCCGAGAGGGGUGAGUGGAACUUCUGGUGGAGCGGUGAAAUGCGCAGAUAUCAGAAGGAACACCGGUGGCGAAAGCGACUCACUGGCUCGGUUCUGACGCUGAGGUGCGAAAGCGUGGGUAGCAAACAGGAUUAGAUACCCUGGUAGCCCACGCCGUAAACGAUGGGCACUAGGCAGGCGGGGUUCCGAUGCCCUGCUUGCUGGAGCUAAUGUGUUAAGUGCCCCGCCUGGGGAGUAUGGUCGCAAGGCUA
rnacentral:rRNA from 1 species